rnacentral:sRNA from 1 species
AUGAUAUACAUGCAGGUAUCGGCUCGGUUCAGCAUGUAUCGGUUUUGGAUUUCUAGCUCUGGUGACCGCACUACACCGGCAUCGAGAUUCCCUUCGCGCUUCAAUCGCCGGCAUCGGCUUCGUCGGUCGGUUGCAAUGGCGAUGCGGGACAAUCGGCGCUGGUCAGUAGGAUCGGUGUCGGUGACUUUCUGCUCACCCCUAAUAGCAGGUGUGUCAUUAUGAAUCAAUAUAUAACAAGAAACGACUUAGUAAUGUCAAUAGAUGAUGUAUCUUGAUGAACAUAUUUUUUUUAUAGAUAAUUUCAACGUAUAGGAUAUGAUGCCCAAUAAUAGAAAACUUUAUCAAUUAAGAUAAUUAGAACCUACUGUCUUGAUGAACUUGUUAAUAUAAAAAUUAUAAGUUAAUAAUAUAUGAUAUGGCCAAAUAUAGGUCGUGCACGUACCAUAUAUAAAAGACAAGAAGAUGAGGAAGAAAGGUAGGCGCACGAAGAGAAAGAAGGGUAUGCAGUAUAUGUAGAGACUAGAGAGGUUUUAUUUGAAGAGAACAAUUAAAUCUAAGUGUACUUUUAAUAUUGAUGGAGGAGAAGAACCCUCCUUGUGUUGAGCAUAUUCUGGCUUACUAUGUAUAACUUUUAACAAUUUUAAUAAAAUUUAUGUCGUCUUUACCUCAAAGUAAAUCUAUGUGUAUUUUUUCUUUUAUUAAUUUUAUUUUUAUUUUGAUAAUCUGAUUGUUGAGGAAGGGAAUUUGAGUUUGAAUGUGUUUAUUAGAAACACCAGAAGGUAUAAGUUGAAAAUCUAAAGAAAGAGUAAUACAACCAGAUUUGUAAAUAAUCUGGAAUAAAGCAAGUGUAGAGUUAAAAGGUGGAUGGCAAUGGAUUAUGGAUAUGCUUGAGAUAAUUUGUAAACAAAUGAACAUAAAUUUAAUUUAGAUUCAUCACUACUGAAUGCUACAUUACCUUGAGUUUCUCAAAGCCUAAGCCCUAGAGUUAAGAAGAAAUUAUUAAGUGCUCUUGGAAUACAUUAAUGUGAUAAUUUAUUCUUUUACAUUUAUGGUAGAUUUCACAAAAAGUUUAAUUAAUAUUAUGUCAUCGUACUCCGAAAGUAUAUAAUAAUUACUUAGAAUUACGACAGAGGAGUUUUGACCUUGAAUGAUAGAUUUUUCAGUUUUUUUAUUAUUAGAUCACCAAGUCCUCUGCCCAAAGUUAACUUCGAUGGAGCUCUGUUUAUGGGUACUUCUUAUGCUGGCAUCGGUGUAGUGAUAAGGGAUUUAGUAGGAAAAGUUAUAGGUGCGCUGUCGGAAAGGAUUGCACUCCCUACAACAGUGGAUGAUGUUGAAACUCUGGCUUGUAGGAGAGCAAUAGAAUUUGCGAUGGAGAAAGGCAUGCAGCAGGUUAUUUUCGAAGGAGACUCGGCAACUGUCCUAAAUUGUAUUCAGGCUGGCUCACCUUGUCUGGCACCUUUUGGGAAAGUUAUUGAGGAUUCCUUCUCCUUGGCUUCGCACCUCAGCCACUACUCGUUCUCCCAUGUUCGACGAAAGGGCAAUGUUAUGGCUGAUAAGCUAGCUAAAUUAGCUAAGUAUCCUAUGCACCCAAAGUUUGGUUGGAGGUCNUAUUUAUAG